rnacentral:rRNA from 1 species
AUACGGAGGGUGCGAGCGUUAUUCGGAAUUACUGGGCGUAAAGCGCGUGCAGGCGGUUUGACAAGUCUGAUGUGAAAGCCCCGGGCUUAACCUGGGAAGUGCAUUGGAAACUGUUGGACUUGAGUACUGGAGAGGAAGGGGGAAUUCCCGGUGUAGAGGUGAAAUUCGUAGAGAUCGGGAGGAAUACCAGUGGCGAAGGCGCCCUUCUGGACGGCUACUGACGCUGAGACGCGAAAGCGUGGGGAGCAAACAGGAUUAGAUACCCUGGUAGUCCACGCUGUAAACGAUGAGCACUAGGUGUAGCGGGUACUCAUUCCUGCUGUGCCGUAGCUAACGCGUUAAGUGCUCCGCCUGGGGAUUACGGUCGCAAGACUAAA